CUUUCCUCCCAUCCCCUUGACCUUCCAGGGAAGGGGCUGAGGUCCCUGAAGGCUGGAGCAGACCUGAGUUGCUCAGGGUGCCUGUCUGGAGCAGGGGUAUUUUUAGAGUUGGCUGCACUGUUUACUAGGAAGCCAGCCUGUCCCCUGAACCUUCCCUCUGUCUACGGGGGAGCACUGGCUGCCGGUCCCACCCACUGCCUCUGCGGCUCUGGCCCUUCCUCCCUCCCUCCCAGCUGCUCCUUCCCUGUCCUCUCUGUCACUACGUGGACUCUCUCAGCACAUGGGUGCGCUGUCAUCACGACCCUGGGAGACUAUAACAACAGAAAGAGGUGGCCCUUGUCCCCUCCCCCUGACCACCAGGCACAAGAAAUGGCUUGCUUAAUGGGACAAAAGGCUGAAAGAGUAACAGUGCCAGCAAGUAAGUUUGACAGGUGUGACUGGAGUGUAGGGUCUGGCAAGGGAGAAAGUCAGGUGAGCAGACUGGAGACCCAGGAUGGAACUGUCGUGCCAGGAGCCCACCACGGGAAGCCACGGCCACUCCUGUCCUGCGUUAGGGGCCGCCUCAGCAAGAAUGUCAGGCUGGGCUGCAGGAGGGAGAAACAGCAGCAGGGAGGCCCCCCAGGACACAGCGACAGGACUUCUGGGCUUAAUCCUUCAUCCUUCCUUCUAACACCCUAGACUUUGCAAACCCGAACAUUCCUGGGAUGUGCUCAUUUCCAGUCCUCUCCUCACCCACAUUCUUCGUCUUACUAGCUGGUGACCUUCGACAAGUUGUGUGGCUUGAUUUCCUUCACCUGUAAUUCAGAGAAAGUGCGUGUGCCUAUGUGCACACACUCAAGGGUAUACACACACACACCCCCAAAGGGUUGUUAUGAAGCUGCAGUAAAUAAGACUGUGGAAGGAAGCCUUCUGGAAAGCACAGGCUGUACCGAUCUCUCCUCGCCUGCCCUCAGCUGCUAUUCCCAUUCCACGAGGGGAAAUCCUUGCCCGGAAAGCCCUGCUCGCCUUGGCGUGGGGCCCAGGGCGGGCGCCCCCGUGGAGGCCAGGUCUUUCCCUUCCCAUUUCCCUUGUUGAUUCCAGUGCAACGGUUGCUGGCUUGCAGGUGGACAGCCAGGGCUCUGGACUUGCCCUGCUGCAGGGAUAAGGUCCCCCUUGGCUGCUCAGGCUCUAUGGCUGACACUGGGGACCUGGAGAGGUUCAAGGGGCCUUGGCGAGGGGGGGAAAUCUCAGUUAUCUCAACGGAGAUGGACGGGGAUUUCUUAUGUUCAGGCUAUACAGCUCAGAGUUGAUAUGCCGCCUCUACGAAGGCCUUUGGACAAGAUGAAGAGGCGAUGCUGGGGAGGUGCUCUGAGCCAGGGAAGAGGGGCGACAUGGCAGCGGGGCGGGGAGCAAGAAUCCCAGGAAGCGGACAGAACUUCAGGAAGGCAGAGGUGUGGGUGAGCAGGAAGCAGGAGCACUUGCAGGCAGCCUGCAGCUCCUCCCCGCACCUACCUGCUGCUGAGGUGGCCUUUGGCUUUGACCUCUCCUUCUUCCCCCCUGCCCCCACCCCCACUGAUUAACGAGUCCCCAGGUUUUCAGGUCUUAGAUGUCUCCAGUACACUUCCUCUCUCCUCUAGUCCUGUGGCCACUGCCUGCAACUCACAGCCCUUUCUGGCUUCACCAGACUGCCUGUGGACUCCCUGCCAUGAAAGGAGUUACCUUUUCUUUGGCAGAGACCUGUAACCCCCUCCAUUGGACCUGUUGGUUUAUCUUAUCCAUUUCUGUCAACUCCAAAGCCACACACCCUGUUCUUACCUGCAAAUCUUCAUACAGGGUAUGGCACUUAGCAUAGGCUGAAAAAACAAUCUUUUUUUUCUCUUUUCCGGAAUGGGGAAAUAAAUAAAGCCAAAAAGGAAGGAAGGAAAGAGAG
rnacentral:lncRNA from 1 species